UCCUGUUUAUCAAUUUCUGUGUGUCUU
rnacentral:piRNA from 1 species